rnacentral:lncRNA from 1 species
GGUUGAAGUACAGUAGCCGGAAAACGUAAUAUGAUAACAGUAGAGCACACACAUAGAUUGUGAGAAUUGGAGCUAAUAUUGAGACCUAAACGAUAACUGGUCAAUAAUAUAUUAGACGGAAAACGUAAUAUAGAAGGCGAAAUAUAAUAAUACAAAAUUAUUAGAAAGUAGGUCAGGGACAUAAUUUGUAUGAAUACAGAUCGCCUGUCGAAAUACAUUUUAGAGGGGAUAAUCGAGAUCUACCGGAGGCGCGCAAAAUAGGUCUGAUUAUUCCAAAUAGGAGGAAGGAGGUUACACCCAUAGAAAGUGAAAAUGCAUAUUAGAAAAUAAAUGUAGUAAUUGAGUAAGUACACACAUAUUGUGAGAAUAAGCAUAACAGUAAUUUAAUAAACAUGGAUGGUAAAUCCUCAAAGGAGGACCAGGAAUUAACCGGGAACGAGAGCUAUAUGCAGUCUGAUGAUAAGAGGAAUGUGUAUAAUGGUCCGAAAUGGAGAAAGAAAUACGGGUUUAUGGGGCGUCUAGAUGUGGACAAGCUGGAGGUUAUAAUAAAACAGAUGCAUGAAACCUGUGGUAAUAACAUCCAGGGACAACAAGCAGAAGUUUUGGAUACAGCCAGGGUGUGGCUGUCAGAGGCCCAGAAUAGAGUAGAAGGUAAUAAUAAAAUGGAAAGUGAAAAGAAGGGAGAGCCAAGUAGGAUUAGAGAGAGCAAGCCAUAGCCAGGGAGAGGAAAGAAGAGCCAGAACCAAGAGAGUCUAACCUUAAAAAGCGACUAGCACCGUAUAAUAAGCCAGGGCUGUGGGAGGUUCAAUCAGAUUGGGAGGAGGAUCAGAGUCCUCUCAUAGAGUUUCCUAAUCCUAGGGCAGGCGAAGCUGAUCAAUCGGAUACCUUACAAGUGUAUCGAUCCUGGACUCAGAGAGAUGUAGCAAGAGCAGUUGAGGGAAUAGUACAUCCAAAAACAGGAAUAGAAGGGUUUAGGAGAGAUAUGGAGGGACUGACCGAGAGUUUUAAAGUAAAUACAGGAGAAUUGGAAAGGGCUGUCCGACAGAUAGUGGGGAAAGACUGGGCAGCAGUGAGGGGAGCCUGGGUUCCAGGGCAAGGAGGAGAACCGGUUUUACCAUGGGCAGGAGAUGGGGAUUAUGCAGACAAAUUGACACAGCUCUGUAAUAAUCUUAGGGACAAUUACCAUAGACAUGCAGACUUUUCAAAGAUACAGGAGUGUAACCAAGGGGAUGGGGAAACUGUUAGCCAGUAUUUAGAGAGACUGAGACGUGUUCAAUGCUAAUAGUGGACUGGUAGAUCCUAGACAGGGAGACGACGGACCUUACCACCAACAGUUAAAAAUAGCCUUCUUGAGUGGUAUGAAGCCUGAAAUUUGCCAAAUCAUAAAAGAGACUCUGAUAGGGUGGGGAACAGCCACAUUGGCCGAAGUAAAGAGGUAUGCUAUACACCAUGAGCAUAAUGGCAAGGAAAAGAAAAGUAAGAAAGAACAGACAGGAGCAGAAAAUUUGAUCGCCACUCUUGGGGAAAUUGCAGGAAAGAGCAGGAAUGAUUUUAAAAAGGGGGAAACAGGGGGAGUAGAAAGUGGAUAGAACCCAAGGAGAGAAAGUGCUACAACUGCAAUAAAACAGGCCAAAUGGCAGAGGAUUGUAAGGCCCCACCAAGGAACAGUAGACAGAGACAGUUUAGGGAUAGACAGAAGAGGGAACGUAGGCGAAUGAGAGAGCGAGAGGAGUCCGAGGAUGAGGAAGAACAGGCAUGGCUAGAUGAGGGGAAUGACAGUGAGGAUUCAGAGGACACAGACUGUGAAGUGUUGAAUUGCCAACCACCGACCUCAGGUUGAGUUCAUUUUAUUUUACAGGGACAGUGCACAUCAAUCACAGUUGUGUGUGUCUAAUGGCAGAGUAUUCCUAUCAAACACUUUGAGAGCCUGUUUGAAGACAGACUGAAGGGGUUUUAAGGUUAUAAAGCAAGCUUGGGCUAAACUAGUCAAGGAGUAGGUUAAGUAGGGAAAUUUCAUAGAUUUGAAGUUAAAUGUUGUAUCCAAGGGUAGCGCAUGUUCAAUUAAGUACACAUAACCAUUGAGGAAGUUUAAUACAAAUGAUUCAUGAUUUAAGGGGGUUACAGUGGAAUUAUUAUUAAGUUUUGUUUAUAGUCAACGUUUGGGUUUCUGAAUUGGUGUAGUAUAAUGAAAUGUUGACCAAGAGGUUUUUUUCUCUAGGAAAAUGAGUGCUUCAUUGUCUCUCUUAGGAAAGUUUCCUAGAGCCACGAUAUCUUAAAGGGGUAUACACACAUGGAAUUUUAGAAGUUUUAUUUUCUGAGUUUUAAGUAAACUUUAAUUUGUCUAAGAUAGUAGGAAACACUUCUGUGAAGGGGUGGUAUGACUCUUGACCUCUAUCAUGGUGUUCCUUUGUGGUCUGAUCAGCCUCAUGGGAGGGCCAUUUGGAUAGUGAAUUUAAGGUCAUUUGUGAUACUGAUUUUAAGGUAAUUUGUGUAAUUGAUAAUUAUGAUGGAGUUUAAAGUUCUUAGACAUAUUUGUAAUUUAACACAUGAGAAGGCAGUGUAAGAAAUUGAACACAAUAAGGCUGUGAAAUUGAUAUAAUAACUAUUAUUAUAUUUUGUUGUUGAACAAGGUUAUUGAGUUAGCAAGAAUGAGUUUAAUAAUGCUAUACUUAUUUUAAGUAUUUAGGAUAUAUUUUAAGCCUGAAGGAGGUAGAACAAAUGAGGAAAAGAUUUUGGUUGUUCAGCUUCCGGACAUCCGACAGUGGAAAGACUGUCUGCUCCAUUGGUUAUGAAACAGGGGAUGUCAGGAGAGCAGGCAUGUAUUCCAAUCCUGAACUCCAGGUUAUGUCUAGAUAACCUGUUGAAUGAUUCUGUUGAAUGUGGUUGUCACUCCCACAGAAAGCCGAGGCCAUAAAAGAGAUUACUCCCACCUUUGAAGACUUGGCAGAGGGGGGUGUAAUUAGAGAAAGUGAUGCAUAGUGCAAUUCUCCAAGGUUUUGGCAAAGAGAGCAGCCCCAGUUGGGAAUUCUUCCACAAGAGGAAUGGUGAAUUACAGGAGAAGGUGAUUCAUGCAAUAUAGCUUGGAGACUGGGUGUGGAUCCAGUCCCUGAGGAGAAAAGACUGGAAACAGCCCCGUUGGGAAGGACCCUACCAGGUUCUGUUAACUACCGCCUUUGCCAUUAGAAUAGCUGAGAGAGCCACUUGGGUCUACGUUACCCACUGCAAGAAGGUAGGAACACAUACAAGCACUGCUGAUCACACACAGAGUUAGGAGAAGAACCGAGUACCAAUAGGGUUCGGGGGUUACCUCCUUAACGAAGAUUCCCUAACCCGACCUGUCAUCACUGUGUGUGUUCCUAGAGUGUGAGUAUGGGGUGGUUCCGGGCAGAUAGGCUGCAGGCAGGAGAGGGUUGGUGAUUUUUGGGAAUAUGGGGGGGACCCUAAACUGCAUCAUAGUACUAAUAAUAUUCUUGAUACAUCCAGAUCCACCAUCAGUAGGCAUAAAUCGUACCGAAUCUCUACCAGGGUUGAGAAGCAAAAGACAAACUACUCAAAGUAAGGACAGGCAAGGAAGACUAACAUAUAAAAUAGGGGUUAGAGAAGAACAAAACGCGAGAUUCAGGAUGAGGGUACUAAAUAUGACUAACGGACGACAACACCCCCUUAUACCUGUGUCAACCAACUAGGUCUAUGUGUUCCUGGUCACAGGUGUUUAAACACACAUGGGGCAGGGAAUAUGAGACUAAUAUCUGGAAAUGGAGUGCACGGUGGGGUGUUGAACGGAAUAACUAUACAAAUGUAACUAUACAAAAUGUGACUAGGAAUGACAUGCAAAUUAAGUAUAUGGCAUGCGCUGAUGAGUAGGGCAAGGAUACCUGCAUAUCAUUUCAGUUGACAGACACUACAGGAAAAUACACCGUAGUAAAUCCGUUAUUAGGAAUUGCUAAUUCAGGUGGAAAAUCCAUUAGUCUACCUGAUGUGAAGGACUUCCUUCUCCAAGAAAGGAACCAAGGGGAGAUAGAAGGAAUACCAGAUGAAAAUCUGGUUAAGAUGGAUGAAUUAUACGGCCAGGGCUCUGGGCCAAACCAAUUGUUAUGCAUGCUCUACUGGGUGACCAACUAUGUUGACGGCUCCAAUGCCACAGACUAUGCUCUCUUGUGUGUUAGACUUAGGAUCUAAUCAGGAGGAGGUGAACUGUACAGGAAUGGGGUUGGCCAGAUUAAAGAGUGCAGCCAAUCCACUUCAGUUCACUCUAACUCCUGGAGAGUAUCAGUGUUAUAGACACAGGAAUGGCAGUAGGGAUUUGGGAGAUUUUAAUGGAGGUAAGACAGUAGUGAAUGUGACAGACUUAGAAGUGCAGGAGAAGAUUCUUAACCUUACAGCACCUAUAACUGAUGUAUGGUGGGCAUGUUCCGACCAAGGACGCAUAAGGCAGAUGUUACCAAAAGGGUGGGUAGGUACUUGCGCCCCAGUGUUAUUGGUACAAUCAGUGAGGAUUAGUCAUCAAAGGCCAGUGGUGAGUAAAAUAGUAAGAAAUAAGAGAAGUCUGGUCCUAGAUGAGGGUAGCCCCAUUCCAUUGGGAUCCCUAGAGGAGUACCAGAUGAAUACAAGGCGUUGAAUCAAAUAGGUGAAGGGUUCACAACUACUUUUUUUUGGUGGGUUACGAUAAAUAAGAAUGUGGAUUGGAUAAACUAUAUCUAUUAUAAUCAACAAAGAUUUGUAAAUCAGACUAGAGAUGCAGUGAAGGGAAUCUCUGACCAAUUAUCCGCCACCUCUCUCAUGACUUGGCAAAAUAGGUUGGCUCUCGAUAUGUUAUUGGCAGAGAAGGGCGGGGUUUGUAGAAUGGUGGGGGGUCAUUGCUGUACUUUUAUUCCAAAUAAUACAUCACCAGAGGGGACUGUAACUAGAGCCUUGGCUGGGUUGACCGCACUAAGUGAUGAACGGGCUGAGAACUUAGGGGUUAAUACAUCUGUGAUCGGAUGGUUUGAUGAAAUGUUUGGCAAAUGGAAAACCAUAGUAGCUACUAUUGUGGGGGCUGCUAUUGUUUGUAUGGGUAUGCUGGUAUUAUGUGGUUGUUGUUUUAUUCCCUGUGUCCGAGGUUUGGUGAGUAAGGCGUUGGAGAAUGCAGUGACUCAAAAGAUGGUGAGGUACGGGCCCAUCGCAGAGUCUGACCAAUUGAAUGAACGAGAUACAGAUCUAGACCUGAUGGACACCGCUGAUACAUUCAAUCCUGAGGAGCCAGAACUUAAUGAGACGAUUUUCAAUGUUUAGAGACUGUUUAUUCAAUGAAGAUCAUGAUGAUAAUCCUGAACAGAAGAGUUAGGAUUGGUAGUAGUAGUAAACAGCCAUUGAUGAGUAGAUGAUGUAUAUACAUUUAAUGGUUUGAUUUGGUAUGAUUUUAUUGUUUAAUAAAAAUUGAAGUAUCAGAGUGUAACAUUUAGUCAAAGGGUGGAUUUGUAUGUGUUAGGAAAAUGACUUAACUAUUCCACUCUGAAAUUAUAGAAUAGGGUGAUAUGUUUAAGAAUAAUGGGAAGAUAAAAUCAGGAUAUGGGGAGAUCGGUUAGGAUUGUAAAACUUUGAGGUGAUAUUCUUUAGUAGGGAUGUAAACUGAGUGAAGUUGUAGAUUAGGUAAAAGAAAAACAUUGGAGAGGUUUCAAACCAAGAGGGUCAUAAAGGGGGAGGGGAGGUGAAAGCCUUGAAGAAUGUGGCAAACUUUAUGGUUCUUUGUGGUGAGUGGAAAAGUACUGGUUGUUUGAGAAGGGAGUGGUCUAAAGAUAGGAAUAUGUGUGUGUAUUAUAAAAGGACUGAGUCCUAAUUUUUGACUUUAGAACGGGACUGAGUCCUAUUUUUUUACUUUCUCUGAAUAAACUGUACAGACCUUUUGCAGAAAGCUGAGUCCUUGCCUAAUUAUUAUUAACCCAGUGUCUUACAAACCUUGGGGAUUAGUCAAGGCUUAUUGAUUGUUAAUUAUUAUCAUUGGGAUUCGAAAAUUCCCUUAGCAGGCAGUCACCCUCCCCUAGAUGCAGCCAAACCAUCCUUGUUCCUACACUUGCUCAGUUAAGAGAG